AAGAGUUCUGCAGACAACCUGCAGGCCGCCUAAGGAAUUUCAUUGUCCCGCGUGACCACGGAUGUACUGGCACGCUUGAGGCGAUGAUGUGGAAGGUCGGGAGCAGUCCCGGCCUUUUGUUUU
rnacentral:sRNA from 1 species